UACGUAGGGUCCGAGCGUUGUCCGGAGUUACUGGGCGUAAAGCGUGCGCAGGCGGUGAUGUAAGACAGAUUUGAAAUCCCCGGGCUCAACCUGGGAAUUGCAUUCGAUACUGGAUAGCUAGAGUUCGGCAGAGGGAAGCGGAAUUUCGGGUGUAGCGGUGAAAUGCGUAGAUAUCCGAAGGAACAUCAGUGGCGAAAGCGGCUUCCUGGACCAGAACUGACGAUCAGGCACGAAGGCGUGGGGAGCAAACAGG
rnacentral:rRNA from 1 species